AAAAUAACCAUCUAGUCAGCCGGCUACACAGCCACAGCAACGCCUGCAAGCAAACAUUUGAGCUCCACAGCUGAUGUGCUUGUCUGUCAAGUUAACACGACAGGGUUGCUGUUGUCAUCUAAAAGAUAUUACCAGCAUUUUACAGUAUAUGGACAACACAAAACUUAUAGCCACAGUGUAUUUCUUACUCACCUCGACAUCAUUAUCGCUUCAAAGAGCAAGGGCGUAUAACCUCGUAUCACCAAACAACACAGAAACAAUCUCUUCUAACCCCAGUCUGACAUUGAUUCCUACAGUCAUCAGAGAGUCAUUUCAGCUUUGGAGUUUGGUAUCGAUGACAAAUAUUCCAAAUAUCCGGUCCUAUCCAGUUUACAGAAACCAAUGAUGAGUGUCAGUCAUAAUGAGAAGGAUGUUAUCAUCACCUGUGAGAUUCCUCGACCUGCUGGUAAUGACACCACCUGUAAUCUGUAUGUUGGAGACCAGAGUCAACAUCUCCUGAAGACAAAGAUCUGGAAGAAAACAUCAUCCAGGUCCAAGACAUCAUUCUGUCUGUUCACUGUGACUGAAGAUGACCUGAUCAGACAUCUACAGUCAGUAGGGAGUCAGGAGGUGAGCUGUGACUACAGAGUGAGUUCAGGACCAAACUCUCUCUCUCCACGUAGUGACGGGUACAUUAUAACAA
ensembl:lncRNA